GGUCAGGAUGAACGCUGGCGGCGUGCCUAACACAUGCAAGUCGAACGGAGUUGUUCUACCCCGACGAUUUCUCUUCGGAGAAUGAGUCAUUUGAAACGCUUAGUGGCGGACGGGUGAGUAACGCGUGGGCAACCUGCCCUGCACAGGGGGAUAGCGGUUGGAAACGACCGGUAAUACCGCAUACCUUACAUUUUGCCGCUAUGACAGAUGUAAGAAAACGAUUUAGUGGUGCAGGAUGGGCCCGCGUCCGAUUAGUUAGUUGGUGGGGUAACGGCCUGCCAAGACGACGAUCGGUAGCCGACCUGAGAGGGCGGACGGCCACAUUGGGACUGAGACACGGCCCAGACUCCUACGGGAGGCAGCAGUGGGGAAUAUUGCACAAUGGGGGAAACCCUGAUGCAGCCGACGCCGCGUGAGUGAAGAAGUAUUUCGGUAUGUAAAGCUCUAUCAGCAGGGAAGAUAAUGACGGUACCUGACUAAGAAGCCCCGGCUAAAUACGUGCCAGCCGCUGC
rnacentral:rRNA from 1 species